rnacentral:rRNA from 1 species
AGUGAACGCUGGCGGUAGGCCUAACACAUGCAAGUCGAACGGCAGCACAGUAAGAGCUUGCUCUUACGGGUGGCGAGUGGCGGACGGGUGAGGAAUACAUCGGAAUCUACUUUUUCGUGGGGGAUAACGUAGGGAAACUUACGCUAAUACCGCAUACGACCUACGGGUGAAAGCAGGGGAUCUUCGGACCUUGCGCGAGUGAAUGAGCCGAUGUCGGAUUAGCUAGUUGGCGGGGUAAAGGCCCACCAAGGCGACGAUCCGUAGCUGGUCUGAGAGGAUGAUCAGCCACACUGGAACUGAGACACGGUCCAGACUCCUACGAGAGGCAGCAGUGGGGAAUAUUGGACAAUGGGCGCAAGCCUGAUCCAGCCAUACCGCGUGGGUGAAGAAGGCCUUCGGGUUGUAAAGCCCUUUUGUUGUGAAAGAAAAGCAGCAGGUUAAUACCCCGCUGUUCUGACGGUACCCAAAGAAUAAGCACCGGCUAACUUCGUG